UAAUGGAGUCCAGGCGCUCGCGUCACAGGAAAUGCCUAUACUGCCCUCCUCACUCACUUCCGGUGGCAGUUCAUUUUUCAAGAUUUGCCUCGUUCGGGGGCCUCAUCAAGGGAGCCUUUCCUGACUUCCAGCCUCCUGGCCCUCCGUUCUGUUGACUCUUCUGGUGCCCGUCCCUGACGCUUGGGCCGGGAGACAUGCUGAGGAAUGCUUCCUCUGGGGUUUCGACCGGCACGGCUAUUUGUCAUGGCCUCAGAAGCUGCUUGGCUACAGAGACCUGGAAGCUUGGGGAUCUCAAGAUACACCUUGACCAGUGGAGUCUGUCUGAGCCUUGUGUAACCUUGUCACGAUGUACCAGUUUAGUGGAUGAGGUCAUUCAAAUCACAGAAAAAAGUCGCCUUCACCUGCCUGUCAGAAUGCAUGGAAAUCACAAAUCUGGGGUCGUACCUGGAUAUCGAGAACAUCGUCUGGGAGCAUUGAACCCUUCCUACCCCUCCCUC
rnacentral:lncRNA from 1 species